UUUGUUUGGCGACAAUUUUAACAAAUUCGUCGGCAAUAGAGAAAAUUUUCGCGCCUGCCCAUCCCGCCUCACAGUCCCCCCAGCCAUAGAAUGGGAAAAUUAAAUUAAAAAACAUUAGCUAUCUAACCCAUUAUUUUUCUCUCCAUCUCCGUUGCAUCUCCUUCACCUUUCUCUCUUUUUUUUUUUUUUCUUUUUUUUCUUCUGUCAAAAUCAUUUUCCACCGCAAACCCACUUUCUUCCUUCAAAACUUGGGUUGAAUCAAAUCAGCUGCUCUCUUUAAAGGUUGCCGAUCGAUCUGCUGGUUGCCGUUCCGUUGUGGUUGUUGCCGUUCUGCAGGUGAUGCCUCUAGGUCUUCAAGGCAAGGACUACCUCAGCAAGCUCUAAAUUAUGAGUAGGGUAAUUCAACUCAUGCUUCUUCAAUAGUUUUGAAGAAUAGCAACUACCUUUAUUGCUGCAUCAACAAAUAACCUAAACCUUGAUUGGACACAUUUAAGUAGAACUUGAAUCCCUUAUUUAGUUGUGGUAAGGUUAGAAUAGGAGCUAAUGUCAACCUUUUGUUUAAUUCUUGGAAGCUUUGUUCAUAUUAAUUAGUCCACUUAAACUUAACUCCUUUUUAGGUUAGAUAGUAGAGUGGUUGUGCUAUCUUUGAGAACCUUUGAAUGAUGCAAUGGUAGUACCUUACUAAACCAUGAAAACUCCAUACUUUUGCCACCAUGGUAUGGCAUUCCCAAUUUAAUUUGGCCCUUACUUUCUUAAGUUCCACAAAAUACCAUUUGUUAACAUUAUGUGUAUGAGAAAUCCCAUUCUGUCCAAUUAGAAUUCACAUUUAUUGAACUUGGCAUAUAGUUGAUGCUGCCUUAGAGUUUGAGUAAACCAAGAUG